GUCCACGCCGUAAACGAUGGAUACUAGCUGUUGGGGGCAACCUCAGUGGUUAAGCGAAAGUGAUAAGUAUCCCACCUGGGGAGUACGAACGCAAGUUUGAAACUCAAAGGAAUUGACGGGGGCCCGCACAAGCGGUGGAGCAUGUGGUUUAAUUCGAUGAUACGCGAGGAACCUUACCAAGGCUUAAAUGUAGAUUGACCGGUUUGGAAACAGACCUUUCGCAAGACAAUUUACAAGGUGCUGCAUGGUU
rnacentral:rRNA from 1 species